AGAGCUAAAUUGGUUCCAGGGCUCUGCCCCCUUUCUGAUCUGGUUUGCUCUCCUCUUCCUUUCCUAGGCCCCUCCACUCCCCCGGCUCUCACAUCCAAACCUGCUCUCCAUCCUCCCUCAGCUGCCUUCCAAAGCAGCUCCUCAUUCUGCUGGUAGUCCUGGAGUGCGAGGGCAUGGGAUGGAGACGCCUGCUACAGAGCCCUGCUCUCACGUGACUCCCCAGUCCCUCAUCUGCCUGCCUUCUUUUGAGAUGGCCUGCCAUAAAUGGACCAAAGAUCCCCCAUCUUCCAGUAAGCCCAGAUGAGGAGGGUCUUGGGAACAGAAGUUAACAGUGUGAAGAAACGAGGGAGAAGAAAGGAGUGCUCUGGAUGGAGGGAACUAGGCCCUGGAAGAUGAGGAGGAGAUGAAGGGCUCUCUCUACUCACGUCAAAGAUCUCGAAGCCGGCGAUGUCCAGGACUCCGAUGAAGUACUGGCGUGGCUGCUUGGUCUCCAG